rnacentral:rRNA from 1 species
AACGAACGCUGGCGGCAUGCCUAACACAUGCAAGUCGAACGAGACCUUCGGGUCUAGUGGCGCACGGGUGCGUAACGCGUGGGAACCUGCCCUUAGGUUCGGAAUAACUCCCCGAAAGGGGUGCUAAUACCGGAUAAUGUCUUCGGACCAAAGAUUUAUCGCCAUUGGAUGGGCCCGCGUUGGAUUAGCUAGUUGGUAGGGUAAAAGCCUACCAAGGCGACGAUCCAUAGCUGGUCUGAGAGGAUGAUCAGCCACACUGGGACUGAGACACGGCCCAGACUCCUACGGGAGGCAGCAGUGGGGAAUAUUGGACAAUGGGCGAAAGCCUGAUCCAGCAAUGCCGCGUGAGUGAUGAAGGCCUUAGGGUUGUAAAGCUCUUUUACACGGGAUGAUAAUGACAGUACCGGGAGAAUAAGCUCCGGCUAACUCCGUG